CAGCCAUUCCGCGUGAGUGAAGAAGGCCUUCGGGUUGUAAAGCUCUUUCAGCUGGAACGAAACGGUACGCUCUAACAUAGUGUGCUAAUGACGGUACCGGCAGAAGAAGCACCGGCUAACUACGUGCCAGCAGCCGCGGUAAUACGUAGGGUGCGAGCGUUAAUCGGAAUUACUGGGCGUAAAGCGUGCGCAGGCGGAUUGUUAAGCAAGACGUGAAAUCCCCGGGCUUAACCUGGGAAUGGCGUUUUGAACUGGUAGUCUAGAGUGCGUCAGAGGGGGGUGGAAUUCCACGUGUAGCAGUGAAAUGCGUAGAGAUGUGGAGGAACACCGAUGGCGAAGGCAGCCCCCUGGGAUGACACUGACGCUCAUGUACGAAAGCGUGGGUAGCAAACAGGAUUAGAUACCCUGGUAGUCCACGCCCUAAACGAUGUCAACUGGUUGUUGGGGGAGUGAAAUCCCUUAGUAACGAAGCUAACGCGUGAAGUUGACCGCCUGGGGAGUACGGUCGCAAGAUUAAAACUCAAAUGAAUUGACGGA
rnacentral:rRNA from 1 species